CAAGCCCACCAGUCCUGUUGAGAAACAGCGAGCUCAGCAAACGCCGGCCUCUCCUGGAAAGACAGUGCGCACAGACUCACCAGUCACGGGUCAUUAGUCCUGCACAGAAGAACCCCUGGGCAGUGGCCUCGAGGCCUGAGCAGGAGGGCAUCAGAGGAAUGAGGCAGAUAUCAGAGCAGCUGUUUUGUGGAUGUCACAGAUCUUACUGGAGUCUUCUGAUGGGAUAAGCUCCAGCAUUUUCUGAAUUGCAUUCUGAAGCCUCCUCGUGCUGCCUGGAUUAUUUACCCGUGGCUGAAGGUAGCUAGGGCUAUUUCAUCUUUGGGUUUCCAGCACUCAACGGUAUUCAAGUCCACAGAAAGCCCUCAAUGAAUACUGCGGAAAAGAAAUACGACAUGAACUGAGCGGCGUGCAUGGAGUCCGGCCCCUCGGUCUUCCGUCUUCCGUGCCACGCAGCUGCACCUCGGCCCCCUGCAGGCCCGCGUCGUCUGCUGUCCGCCAGGUUUCUGAUGUGCCCAUGACGGUGACACAGUCAGUCCCAUGAUAAGUGCCCGGCAGCAGGCUGGUGACAGCUAUCUCACCAGCGAGUCCAGCCAGCGGAGCAGACGGUGACAUCAUCAAAUCUUGCCGUGAGUGGAUGGGGCCUCACGACACCAGUCUGACCUCAGAAGGAAGGUGACCAUGCAGGACAAAUCACCGUCACUGGGCUUAGGGACUCCACAGCAAGGCGCAGCCCGGCCCCAGAGACACAUGUCCCUUUGGUCUGUCUCACUUUCUUACAUGUCCGCACACCUGUCCCUGCAGGGGACAGUCAGCUGCCUCUUCUAGCCUGCACCUGCUUGAAUCCUGCAGCCAGGAGGCACACUUUCCAAGAAGCCAGAAUUGUCCUGCAAGCCUCCACUCCAGCUUUCUUCACCUGUCAUUUUUACUCCCCACCUGUGCACUGCUAGAACACCUGGAUCUUCCUGCCUCAGCCUCCAUCAGAGCAAGGGCAUCUGGGAAAGUCGGACCUGCACAUGCUAGCUCACACAUUUUUGUAAUAAAUGGUCAGGCAAAUACAUAAUGAUUAAAAAUUUUAAAACUAGUGCCUAACAUCACACUAGGGCCAUCCAUGCUGGAAGCCUUGACUGCCAGACCCAGAGGGGCCUGAGAACCAUCAAAUUGCUACUCUCUUUGGGAAAUGAGCAGACCGAGGCUCAAGGAAGCUGAAGAGAACUAGAGGCACUAUGAGCCCUUGUCCCGUCUAAAUGGGAUGCCCAUGCCCUUCUCUUCCCAGCAAACCCACCUUCCUGCUUUCUCCCACUGAGCAAGGGCUAGCUCUGCCUCUGCCUGGCCUCCUGGGAGCGCUGCACAUCCUCCAGCUGGGGCGUCUCCUCCCUGCAGUCCUCCCACAGCCAGCAGAACUCCGACUUGUUGAUGGCUGUCUGUGAGUCACUCUGGAGUCACAGGGGGAAUGAAACCCAGUCCUGGCCAUCCUCCUUAGCACCAAACUUCCAGAGCUGGUCGAGUCUGUCUUGCUGGAACUUUCUGGAAUUUAAUUCCGGAGAUGGAAGAUCUUGAUGUCUGAUCCAGCCCAUUAAGGGAUGGCACUUUCCCAGGUUUAGGGUUGCAUUAGGUGGUCUAGGGCUGGGGUCGAUCAGUCGCUCCUAGAAGUUGGGGUCCAUGGAAUUCUAGUGUCCCUUGGAACAUCCGUGAAAGGGAAACUCUGUGUGAUAUCAGAGAAAUUUGGGAAGCACUGCUGACUAUAAUUUCCUUUAGGGAGGUAGAACCGUAAUUUCUCAUAACAGACUCUAAGAAAUCCCUCAGGAGAGAGGCUUGCUUAACACGGCAUUUCCCUAACAUAUUUCAUCACACAGCUCCUUUCUUCCAGAACACUGGAUUUAUGUUCAGCUCCUUCCAGUCCAGUGCCCCCAAUAUUUUGUUUCCUCUGGUCUGGUAGUGAGCUUUCACUCAACAUUCUGGACAAAUAGACUGAUUUUUCCCGUGAAGGUAACAAUUUCAUGAUUACAAUUUUGGAAGCUUUCUUUCUCCCUUCCUCCCAUUAGAAAAUUAGACACAGCGGGGAAAAUACAUUUCUGGCCUCAAAUGGAAGAGCUGGAGCUGAUGCGUUCCAGAAGAAGUUUCUCUAUGAAAGGAGAGAGAGAGAGAGAGAGAGAGAGAGAGAGAGAGAGAGAGACUAUGUAAAUAUAAUUAUUUCUAAGCAGAGUACCGCCAACAUUUUCUAUUAGGUAGCAGGAGUUCAAUGUGAGGCCAGCUGUCCAAAUAUAGCUUUUUAGUCCCCUGAGUCAGCAAAGUAUAUAGAACAUUUUCUUUCUCUUUGGGGACAGAAAUGUCUUGCCACACACACGAGUGAGUGUCUCCAAAUGUAUUGGAUAUUUUAUUUAGAGCUGUGGUUGUCAAAUGUUUUUUUCCCAGAGCAAGUAAAAGCCUUUUUGUCAAGGGCAAUCUCAUUCAAAACACCUUCCCUGGACCCUGCAGGCCUGCCCCCAGGGCACCUUCAGGAGACCCCAGGAAUCUAGCCUGGAAACCUAGAGCCUCACUGCUAAAGGUGGGGCCACAAACCAGCCAGUUCUCCCUUCCCUCAGAGCUUGUUGGAAAUGCAGAAUCUGGGCCCCACCCAGACCUGCUGAGUCUCAGUCUGGAUUUCUGCACCAUCUCCAGGGAAUUUGUGUGCACAUUAAAAUUUAAGAGUCAGAUCAAGAAGGUUUACUCCUGAAUAUUUCUUCCUCCCAUGGUUCAUGCUAAAUACCUAGAUAUAGCUUCUUGAAAAUUAGUCUGGAAAUUUGAGCCUCCCAAACCAGCUACAGCUCUAAAUCGGAUAAUCUAAGACAGUGCAGUCCUGAGCUUGGGGCUUCGUGUCCUAAAAUCCAAUCCUUUCCUCUCCCCUUGCAGACACAGCAGAAGGAGGAGUAAGCACUGCUUGGAAAGAGGCUGGAGAGCCAAGUGGUUAAUGCAGAGACUGGAGCAGAAUCCUUGGGUUUGAACCCCAACAUUCCUGGUUUCCCUCUGGGUGACCUUGGUGGUGAACUGUCCCUGCCCUUGUUUGUCCCAUGGGUCUGUGGAGGUGAUGAUGAUGAUGGUGACAGAGGGCCACUAAAGGAACAGGCAGACAGAAACCACUAAGCCUGACCCAGGUCCUGGGUAAGGGCUUAUAUUCCCGAGUGUGCAGGUGCCAGCCCCACCGGAAGGCCUCCAUCUGUGGGAUGGACAGAGGAAAAUCUAUCAAGCUGACAAAAUAGAGUUUAGGAGUCACCGUGGAUGUCUUCCAAAUAGUCCUACCACUUAUAGAAAGAACACAGAUAAUUUAAACUUUCUGAUUUGCAUGUAGACUUUCUACACUUAAAAUCAGAAACAUCUGUUUCUGUUUGGGCUUCUCCACUUGGUGCCAUGAUCUUGGGCAAGUCCCUUACAGCACUCCUUUCAUCUUCUCCUUGCAGGGUCAGGGUAGUAAUCUCACACUGGCCAGCCCCUCUAGUCCGCAGGGAUCCUGCAAGGCUGGGUGAGGGUGGACAUGGGAGAGUCACUCUGAACCCGAAACACUGGCAGCUGCAUGGAGGGCAGCCCAUCCCCUACCCUUCAGACCUUCAUCAUCUGCAGAACUAGAGAAUGAGAACAUCAGGGUCCUCCUGCCCUCCCAGGUUGUGCUGCUGCAAAAAGCAAAGAGCUCACAGUCAGAGAGUGCUGUGCAGAGUAGUGCGGACAGGGAGGCUUCACGUUUCACCAUGAACACUGGUCUUCAUUCUGUAGCAGCCAGGUGAGGUCACCUUCAUCCCAGCCAUUCUCCCUCCACUGAGAUGAAGCUGAGGAGGCCACAAGCCCAGCCCUGAGCAGUGAGUCACACAGGCCUGGAUGCACCCACAAGGCCACCUGGGGCUGACCCCAGGGAUCCAACGCACCUGCUCCAAUGCCAGCCUCUGGGCAGGAGGUGCUGGCAGCCUGGAAACUGUUCUCCAUACUUCUGAACCUCACAGCCUCUCUGGGGCCUUGGCACCAAGAGCUGCUUGAUCUCAGUCCAGCGAUUGCUCUUAUAAACAACAGAGGGAAAAUUAGAAGAGUUGUGAAAAACAGAUAGAGGGAAUUAGGUCACUAGAAAUUCUAAAACGACAGUCUUAGGUCUUGUUUAGCAUAAUGGAUUCAGUGACCCCUGGCCACAGCUUGGGCUUGAGUGAGGAGGCAGAAAAUACUUGUCGAGGCAGAAUGGGGCAGGCAGAAGGAGGUCAAGUGAUGUGCAACUGAGGAGGCUCUGCUGUCCGCUUUUGUUCCCCUGCAGGGACAUGGGCGCAAGCCUUGCUGGAAUGGGGAGCACACUGAUAUUCUUUGGAUCUGCAAGGUUCUGAUCCUGAUGCAGUAGCUGAAGCAGGCUGGGCCCCUUCGUGCAAUUCAGUGCCGAGUUCUCCGACUUGCAGAACACUAAGCCCAAGAUGUGUGAGAGGGGAUGCACCCCUCACUCAUGCCCUGAGCAGCACCGGACCUCUGCUUCUGCAGUCUCCAUGCCAAUGGGCUGUUUACAGAGGGUGGAGAAGUCCUAUAUAUUUGCUUCACAAAAACAAGGUCACCCUGUGAUAUUGGCUUCUCAGACUGUGCUCAAGACAGUUCCUGCCAGCUGCUUCAGAUGGGAGACAAGAAUGCCAUGCCUGGUGCAUGAAGCUGACAUAAAGCAUUGUGUCCUAACUCCUCGGUUCUAGGAAGUCCAAAUACAUCUGCACUUCCUAUUCCAAGAAGUGUGACCACACUCUCUUCAACAGCAACUUCUCCCCAGACCAACCCCCAGCAACCCCUUCCCUUUAAAGCAUUUGUUCUCUCUUCUCUGAGUGCUCUCUUUUUGGAUUCAGCUUGCUUGCACCUGAGUAAAAUAAAUAGACUUGUUGCUUAUGCACCCCCUGCCUGGGUGGUCCCUCUACUCUCCAUGCUGUCAGUACAAGAGGUAGGGCUUUGGGAGGUGAUUGGGGGUGCUGUAUUUAUUAGUGGGUCGAUCCAUUGAUAAGUUCAUACCUGAAUAUAGUACUAAGAGGUGCUACUCAGUUGGAGCAGGUGGUUCACUGGGCAUGUGCCUUUGGAGGGUAUAUCUCUUGCUUUGGCUCUUACCCUUCCUUUGAUUCCUGGCUGCUGUGGGUUGAACAGCUUUUGUCCACUAUGCCCAUCUACCAUGCCAUUUGUGCCUUGGAGCCAGCCAACCGUGGACUGAACCCUCUGAAACUGUGAGCCAAAAUACAUUUCUCCUCCAAAUUGUGGGUACUGGGUAUGUGUCCCGUGAUGGGAAUGUGAUUCAUACACACCCAUACUAUCUAGGUUUGUGUGAGUACACUCUGGAUGCUUAUAUGGUGAAAUAUCUCUCAGAGACAGGCACUAUGCUGGUGAUUGACUCUUUCUAUGUUUGCUGCAACUAUGAAGGAAGGCAACAACUGCUCUCCCUGCUUCAUAAGUGAGGAAGACACUUGGGUAAAUGAGCAGCCAUAAGGCCAAAGUGGCUCCACUGUGAACCCUUGAACCCUUUGAAUGUGGGGCUGCCUGACUGUGUGCUUUCUACUUAUCUAUGGGGUUUGCAGACAUAAGUUCUUGGAGCAACCUCUGUAGGGCAAUACCAAGGUUACUUUCUGCACUUGAGGCUUCCUCUUUGCCCCUUUCACCAGCAGAUCUGAAUUCCUUCCUCACCAGCCACACAACCAAGUGAAAUUCCUUGGUCUCCCUAUUCCUCCUUUGUCUCAGCUGGGAAUGAGGAUGAUAAUUACCCCUGGCAGAAAAGGUGGGAAGGGGGAGGUCCUGUGAGUAACCAUCUCCCGCCUUAGAUGAAGCUGGCUCUUCUGUAACUGUACACAUGAAAUUCCUGAUGCUUCCUUUGUACCUACAGACCCCUGAUUCCUGGGAAUUCUGGGAGUUGUAGGCAUCCAGUCCAGGGACACAUCAGUCCUUUGCAGAGUCCCUUCUGCAGGGCCAGCAAUAAUGCAGAACAGAGCUCUUACCUGGACCUCUAUGCUCCAUGGAUGUGUCAGAGGGUGGGGGAGAGGGAGGAGAGAGAGAUUUGUUUACCAGUAAGUGAAUGAGCUGGAAAUCAAAUCCAACCAGACUCCAUGAUAUUUGUCCCAUCAGCUCCUCUGGGCUGUGCAAUUUGUCCCUCUAUAGAGUGGUACCAGGAGUGAGUCAUAAGGGGAGGGGUGUGAUUUUCUAUGUCCCUCCAGUCUGCUCAGCCAACUGUAGUGGAACAGGGGGCAUCCUUUGCUCUCUUGCCUUGUCCCCCUCUUCCUCCUUGUUGAUAUUACUAAAGGGCAAUUAUAUAAUUAACACAGAGCAAAGCACUCCUACUUUAAGCAUUCAGGGUGACUAUUUGACCUGUGUGGCACCCUGUGUGGUCCUGGCAGUUCAAGAUGGCAGAUCUGGUCCUGCCCGGCCUCAGUCCUUAUAGUCCUGGAGGGGACAGAAGGGGACCAGGGACAGACUGGGACUCCCCUGAGCCAGACUUGGAGAAUACUCCAGAAGCAUCCACAUAUUUGCAAGUACUCAUUUUUUAAAGGUUCUGAAAGAAAUCACUUUCAAAUGAAGGCUAAAAGGAGAAGGCAGGAAGAAAAGAAAGAAAAGGAAGACUAGAAAAAAAAGAAAGGCAAAAUGUGGAUGCAUGUAAACCAGAACUUUCAUAUUGGUCAAAUUGUAAGAUAGUUUCUGUCUCCUGGAAUAUUUAAUUAUAGGAAAAUCCCACAGGCCACCUGUUUUAACUGCUUUUCUUCUCUGGUGGAGAAAUCAGGAUGCUUUUGCAACAGGGAAUGAUUUGAUUCUCCUGGGGGAAAUGAGGGAUAAAAUGAAUGAAAAAUAUCUUGUCUUCAGAAUAUUAUACAUUUUUCAAUACCAGACCCUAAAAGUAGUAGGUUUUCAUCCUUAAUUUGAAUGCUAACUACUUGGAAGUCUCACACAGAUUUCCCACAUGUGCAUUUUAUUUUCUUUAAGUGGUGAAGAAUGAACAAAGAAGACAGAGCGGUCCUUCAUUCUGUUUGUGUCUGCACAGUAUUACUGUCUCUGUUGCUCAUUUCACCAGCCUAAGCCCCAGAAGGAAUUCCCCAAACCAGGAUGGAUGUCCACACUCAGCCCAAGGCUGACAUUUCCAACUAGAAGGUGGCCAUCCUGACAGAUGCCCUGGGAACCAGGAUGAGUGGCUGAGUUACUUCACAUCAUUAUCCUACUACCGAGAAGCAGCUAAUGAGUCCCCAUCACAACUAAAAACUCAGACGUUGAUGGCACAGGUCAAGACUUAAUAUGGCCGGACAUUCUGCUGGACUAUUUUGUGAAGUCCCCUCUUCCACUUAGUUCUCCCAAGAGCUUGAGGGUUAGAGAAGCUGGGCCUCCCGUGGUGGUGGCCUCUCAGCAGGAAGCCUGGCAAGCCAGCAUCUUCCUUUGAAAUGGAGAUUUUUAUAAACAAAAUUGAAACUGAAAAACCUCUUGCUGUGGGUCCUGGGUGCUGAGAGCCUUGGGAAGGGCUGGAUGAAUCUGGUCAAUGCUGUUGGCACAGUCUAGGCACCCAAGCUACAGGCUGCUGUAGAAUGCUCACCUCAGUCUCUCUCUCCACAGUCACAGCCUCUCCCUGCGUGAGGCUGCCCCCAGCCUGUGGCAGCCCAGCUGGUAAGAUGCUGGGCAGAGGGGACAAAACACUGGACUGGAUUAUGUCCACCUGGGAUAUGGAGAGGGCAAGGAAAACACAGCCUUCAGCUGUCCUGAUUUAUAAUCAUAGGACUUUAAUAAAGCAGCUCUUUGUCACAAAACAUAGUAAUGGUUCCUUGGCCCCAUUUCAAUCCAUCAUGUCACCCUCUGCUCUUGGAGAUGUUACAAAGCAGUGAUGGCCACAGUCCAGAGCCUGGUUUUACAAGUUUGUUGCUUAGCAGUGCAACUGUGUGUUGGCAAGGCUCAUGCCCAGAUCUUUGUAGGCGUGCAGGGAGGAAGAAAGAUUAAAGGGACUAUAAAACCACAAACUAUGUACAAAAUGUAUUAUGAACUUGAAUUUGAGAGCUUUUUUUUUUUUUUGGCCUCAUACAGCUGGAGGCAGUGGCUUCCGGAAGAGUCAUUUUGUUUUCAGAGCUGCUUGUAGAAAUACUGCAUUUUCAAACAUCCCAUGGGCCUGAAGACAUUGGUCUGAGUCCUGGCUGGGUCCCCACAGGGGUUCUCAGAAUGAUUCAGCCUGAAUUAAGGACUGGGCUACAUGAUCCAAAGCCUUCUGAGGGGGAGUCCUCCACGCAUAGGGAGAUGGCCUGAGCAGGGACAGGGUCAUGUUGGGGACAGCCCAGAGCCUAACCGUCACAGAGUUCUAGCUGCACACAUGGCCUAGUCUCCCUCCCUGUCCUCAAGUUAGAGAAUUGGGCUGGGGCUGGAACUCAAUGGGAGAACACUUUUCGGCAGGCAUGAAGCCCUGAGCUCCAAUCCCCAGAACCAC